rnacentral:rRNA from 1 species
CCCUUAGAUGUCCUGGGCCGCACGCGCGCUACAAUGACACGUUCAACAAGCACUUUCCUGGCUUGGAAAAGUUUCGGGUAAUCUUUAUAAUACGUGUCGUGCUGGGGAUUGAUCUUUGGAAUUAUAGAUCUUGAACGAGGAAUUCCUAGUAAGCAUAAGUCAUCAGCUUGUGCUGAUUACGCCCCUGCCCUUUGUACACACCGCCCGUCGCUCCUACCGAUUGAAUGUUUCGGUGAAGAUUCCGGAUAGGACUUUUUUGAUUUAUUUCAAUUUUGUCUUAAAAGCUAUCUAAACCUCAACAUUUAGAGGAAGGUGAAGUCGUAACA